GACGAACGCUGGCGGCGUGCUUAACACAUGCAAGUCGAACGGAAAGGCCCUGCUUUUGUGGGGUGCUCGAGUGGCGAACGGGUGAGUAACACGUGAGUAACCUGCCCUUGACUUUGGGAUAACUUCAGGAAACUGGGGCUAAUACCGGAUAGGAGCUCCUGCUGCAUGGUGGGGGUUGGAAAGUUUCGGCGGUUGGGGAUGGACUCGCGGCUUAUCAGCUUGUUGGUGGGGUAGUGGCUUACCAAGGCUUUGACGGGUAGCCGGCCUGAGAGGGUGACCGGCCACAUUGGGACUGAGAUACGGCCCAGACUCCUACGGGAGGCAGCAGUGGGGAAUAUUGCACAAUGGGCGGAAGUCUGAUGCAGCAACGCCGCGUGCGGGAUGACGGCCUUCGGGUUGUAAACCGCUUUCGCCUGUGACGAAGCGUGAGUGACGGUAAUGGGUAAAGAAGCACCGGCUAACUACGU
rnacentral:rRNA from 1 species